CCUUCGAUAGCUCAGUUGGUAGAGCGGGGGACUGUAGUUGUUCGCCGCAGUCAUAAUCCCUAUUCCCUAGGUCACUCAUGGUUCGAAUCCGGUUCGAAGGA